GUCAUUGAUUUCAAGAGCAUCUACUGUGGAUGGCUUUAAGGUUUUCUUACACUUACUGUCCCUUGCCGUUCUUACACCAACCACAGAUCUGAAGCCGCCUUUGUAGCAACUCUUGACUGACUUCUAANAACUCUGACUUCUAGGUAAUCUGCCAGCUUUGAAGCUGACCUUGGCUUCAUUGCAGCUGAACAGCCAGCAUUGCAUAAUCAGUGCAACGGAACUGGAUCCAAGGCUGGAAGUGGUCAACAGAGGAUAUCUAUCCAGGGCUGUCCAUGCAACCCAAUGAGUGCCACCUACCUCCCC
rnacentral:lncRNA from 1 species